rnacentral:rRNA from 1 species
AGUGAACGCUGGCGGUAGGCCUAACACAUGCAAGUCGAACGGCAGCACAGUAAGAGCUUGCUCUUACGGGUGGCGAGUGGCGGACGGGUGAGGAAUACAUCGGAAUCUACUUUUUCGUGGGGGAUAACGUAGGGAAACUUACGCUAAUACCGCAUACGACCUACGGGUGAAAGCAGGGGAUCUUCGGACCUUGCGCGAUUGAAUGAGCCGAUGUCGGAUUAGCUAGUUGGCGGGGUAAAGGCCACCAAGGCGACGAUCCGUAGCUGGUCUGAGAGGAUGAUCAGCCACACUGGAACUGAGACACGGUCCAGACUCCUACGGGAGGCAGCAGUGGGGAAUAUUGGACAAAGGGCGCAAGCCUGAUCCAGCCAUACCGCGUGGGUGAAGAAGGCCUUCGGGUUGUAAAGCCCUUUUGUUGGGAAAGAAAAGCAGCAGGUUAAUACCCCGCUGUUCUGACGGUACCCAAAGAAUAAGCACCGGCUAACUUCGUG